CUUUGGAUUGGGCGUCAUAGAGGGUGAUAACCCCGUUUGUGACCGCUUUGUUCAUCCAUGUGAAGCCCUUUCGACGAGUCGAGUUGUUUGGGAAUGCAGCUCAAAAUGGGUGGUAGACUUCAUCUAAAGCUAAAUAUCAGCCAGAGACCGAUAGCGCACAAGUAGAGUGAUCGAAAGAUGAAAAGCACUUUGAAAAGAGAGUCAAACAGCACGUGAAAUUGUUGAAAGGGAAGCGCUAGCCACCAGACUUGCUUGUAUUGUUCAGCCUCCUGAAAAGGUGGUGUACUCUUUACCUGCAGGCCAGCAUCGGUUUCGACGGUCGGAUAAAAACUUAUGGAAAGUAGCUUUCCUUCGGGAAAGUGUUAUAGCCUGAGUACAAUGCGACCAGUUGGGACCGAG
rnacentral:rRNA from 1 species